rnacentral:lncRNA from 1 species
CUGUCUCAAAGAAUCAAAGGCUGAAAAAUAAGUAUAUUUCAACAAAUCCACUUGCUCACAUGUUUCCAGUAUGUUCUUGAAUGGGUUCUUCAAAACCAAACAAAAAAGCACCUAAUUGUGUCACUCAAGCUAAAGAGCACAGACAUAGUGUCACUGAUCAAAGCCCUGUUUGUAUGUAAUUGCCUCUCAAAAAUGCAUUUCGAAUCACUGUCACCUUCUAUUGUACCUACGCAAACACAAGUGUUCUGUGAGUUGAAAGCAAACAAAGGCCACACUUGCAGACCUGAACAAUUCCUCCGCAGGAGGCAAGCAUCCUGGGAUCUUGGUCUCUGAAGGCUGCAGCUCAGUAGAUUGUCAAAAGGCACUUUUCUCCCAACAUCAAUAUCCCUCCAAUCAAGAAACCCAGUAAAAAGUGAAGGACGCAAUUUAGGAUAAAAAGCAUACAGAUGUAUUUGAUCAUAGUUCGAUGUGACGUAGGAGCCUUCAGAAUGAAGAACCAAAAACACAGGAGAAGCCGCAAAUCUUUAUGCUUAGGUUCAACACAGGGUGGACAGCUGUGUGGAGAUAAGUUUGGACAAAAAGGAUGUGAUCUAAUGCUGAUAGGCUGAGUGGGGACUCAGCAGGGCCUGUCUGUCCGGAUUCUUCUUGGCCUCUCUGAGCAGCAUUCCUUCCUUCUGGGUAUGUGGCAGGACCCUCUCUGGAAUUACAGUCUUACCACCUACAGUCAAACAGAGUAGGUCAGAUAAUUUCUUUCUUUCAAUGUUUUAUUUUCAAUUCCGGGGGUACGUGUGCUUGUUUGUUACAUGGGAAUUGCUCGUGAAAUGAGGAGGACUGGGCCUCUAGUGAACCCAUCACCCAAAUGUUGAACACUGUACCCAACAGGAAAUUUUUCAACACUCACUCCUCUCCCACCCUCCCCCCUUUUGGAGUUCCCAGUGUCUAUUAUCUCCAUGUUCAUGUCCACGUGUAUCCAUUGUUUCACUGCCUCUUACAGGUGAGAACAUGCGAUAUUUGAUCUGCUUCUGAGUUAGUUCCCUUAGGAUAAUGGCCUCCAGCUCCAACCAUGUUGCACAAAGGCCAUGAUUUCAUUCUUUUUUAUGGAUGCAUAGUAUCCCAUGGUAUAUGCAUCACAUUUUCUUCUAGUCCAUCAUUGGUGGACACUUAGUUUGAUGACUUUGCUAUUGUGUAUAGAGUUGCAAUAAAUAUACAAAUGCAGGUGCCUUUUUUAAUAUAAUGCUUUAUUUUCCUUUGGGCAGAUAUCCAGUAGUGGGAUUUCUGGGUUGAAUGGUAGUUCUAUUUUUGGUUCUUUGAGAAAUCCCCAUACUGUUUUCCAUAGAGGUGGAACUAAUUUACAUUCCCACCAACAGUACAUAAGCAUAAAGCAUGUUUACUAUACUAAUAUAUGACUGUGCCAGAUUAACUCUUUAUAAUAGGAAUGAGAAACACAUUGAUAAAUGCCAACCCUGGUCCUCAUGGAGACAGAGAAGCUGGCAGCCAAUUCCAUAGGAUAAGUGCCUUCAGAGAUAUAAGCAAGGAGCUGUUAUGCCACAGGAGAGGGAGAAAGGAACUGCUGGGGGAACUUAAAAGGGUGACAUAAGACACAGCCUCUGAGGUGGAUUGGAAAAGAUGGCUAUAAACUUG